rnacentral:rRNA from 1 species
AUUGAACGCUGGCGGCAGGCCUAACACAUGCAAGUCGAACGAGUGGCGGACGGGUGAGUAAUGUCUGGGAGACUGCCUGAUGGAGGGGGAUAACUACUGGAAACGGUAGCUAAUACCGCAUACCAUCGGAUGUGCCCAGAUGGGAUUAGCUAGUAGGUGGGGUAAAGGCUCACCUAGGCGACGAUCCCUAGCUGGUCUGAGAGGCUGACCGGCCACACGGGAACUGGAACACGGUCAAGACUCCUCCGGAGGGAAGCAGUGGGGAAUAUCGGACAAUGGGGGCAAGCCUGCUGCAGCCAUCCCGGGGGGAGGAAGAAGGCCUCCGGGUGGUAAAGUCCGUUCAGCGGGGCGGCGUUACCCGAAUAAGAAGCCACGGCUAACUCCGUGCCAGCCGCCGCGGUAAUUC